UGCUCCUUCAGGUUGGUGGAUGAUGUGGAUGUUACAUAACAAACUAACCUUGAUCAUCAUGUGCCUGCUUGACCGGCUCGGCAGCCUGCGUCACCAUGGCGGCAGUCUCAGUCUGCACGAAGCUGCCGGUCUGCUCCUUCAGGUUGGUGGAUGAUGUGGAUGUUACAUAACAAACUAACCUUGAUCAUCAUGUGCCUGCUUGACCGGCUCGGCAGCCUGCGUCACCAUGGCGGCAGUCUCAGUCUGCACGAAGCUGCCGGUCUGCUCCUUCAGGUUGGUGGAUGAAGUGGAGGGCUGGACUUGUUCCGUGGCUGAUUGCUCGCUGGUGGGCGAGGGCUGCUUGUCUUUGACUGGAAGAAAAUAUAGUUAAAGUAUG